AUUGAACGCUGGCGGCAGGCCUAACACAUGCAAGUCGAGCGAGCGGCGGACGGGUGAGUAAUGUAUGGGGACUGCCCGAUAGAGGGGGAUAACUACUGGAAACGGUGGCUAAUACCGCAUACUGUAGGAUUCCCCACAUGGGAUUUGCUAGUAGGUAAGGUAAUGGGUCACACAGGCGACGAUCCCCAGCUGGUCUGAGAGGAUGAUCAGCCACACUGGGACUGAGACACGGCCCAAACUCCUACGGAGGCAGCAGUGGGGAAUAUUGCACAAUGGGCGCAAGCCUGAUGCAGCCAUGCCGCGUGUAUGAAGAAGGCCCUAGGGUUGUAAAGUACUUUCAGUCGGGAGGCGUUACCGACAGAAGAAGCACCGGCUAACUCCGUGCCAGCAGCCGCGGUAAUAC
rnacentral:rRNA from 1 species